rnacentral:rRNA from 1 species
AGCCACACUGGAACUGAGACACGGUCCAGACUCCUACGGGAGGCAGCAGUGGGGAAUAUUGCACAAUGGGCGCAAGCCUGAUGCAGCCAUGCCGCGUGUAUGAAGAAGGCCUUCGGGUUGUAAAGUACUUUCAGCGAGGAGGAAGGUGUUGAGGUUAAUAACGAGUAUUUGACGUUACUCGCAGAAGAAGCACCGGCUAACUCCGUGCCAGCAGCCGCGGUAAUACGGAGGGUGCAAGCGUUAAUCGGAAUUACUGGGCGUAAAGCGCACGCAGGCGGUCUGUCAA